AGACAGCAGAAGGCAACUUGCUGUGCUGGUGGCCUGAUCUCCUAGGUCAGCCAAAUCAGGUUUUGGACUGGCUACAAACUACAUUACAGAUUUCAGAUAGCGGAAUCGAGAAGUAAUCAGGACCACUUGAUAAGGAAUUCAUAGAAAUUAGUAGUCAAAGCAGUUUCAGAUGCAUAGGCUUUCUGGCUCUGUUCCAGAUUUAUCCAUUAAAAACUGACAGAUUGACACUUUUCAUCUUGUGCAUGUUGCUAUAUAGACUGAUAAACCAGUGGCUUGCUACCAAAACACUCAGAGCAGUGCAAAGAAAUGCAAAUGCUCAUCAACUAUUUUCUGUUAAGAUCGGGGCAUCUGAAUGCUUCAGUUGUCUUUUCCUGAGGCUUCCUUUAUGUGUUUU